rnacentral:rRNA from 1 species
UCGAGAAUCUUCGGCAAUGGGCGCAAGCCUGACCGAGCGACGCCGCGUGGAGGACGAAGGCCUUCGGGUUGUAAACUCCUGUCGAGGGGGAAGAAGGCGCAAGCUUGACUGAACCCUGGAGGAAGCACGGGCUAAGUUCGUGCCAGCAGCCGCGGUAAGACGAACCGUGCGAACGUUAUUCGGAAUCACUGGGCUUAAAGCGCGUGUAGGCGGGACGGCACGUCGGUCGCUGAAAGCCCCCGGCUCAACCGGGGAACGGGCGCCGAGACGACCGCCCUGGAGGGACGUAGGGGGACCUGGAACUUCCGGUGGAGCGGUGAAAUGCGUUGAGAUCGGAAGGAACGCCCGUGGCGAAAGCGAGGUCCUGGACGUCUGCUGACGCUGAGACGCGAAAGCCAGGGGAGCGAACG